UAUUGGGCAAUGGGCGCAAGCCUGACCCAGCAACGCCGCGUGAAGGAAGAAGGCUUUCGGGUUGUAAACUUCUUUUCUCAGGGACGAAGAAAGUGACGGUACCUGAGGAAUAAGCCACGGCUAACUACGUGCCAGCAGCCGCGGUAAUACGUCGGUGGCAAGCGUUAUCCGGAUUUACUGGGUGUAAAGGGCGUGUAGGCGGGAGAGCAAGUCAGACGUGAAAUUCCAGGGCUCAACCCUGGAACUGCGUUUGAAACUGUUCUUCUUGAGUGAUGGAGAGGCAGGCGGAAUUCCGGGUGUAGCGGUGAAAUGCGUAGAUAUACGGAGGAACACCAGUGGCGAAGGCGGCCUGCUGGACAUUAACUGACGCUGAGGCGCGAAAGCGUGGGGAGCAAAC
rnacentral:rRNA from 1 species